CCAAAGUGAAAGGUGGUUUUCAC
rnacentral:siRNA from 1 species